rnacentral:rRNA from 1 species
UACGUAGGCAGCAAGCGUUGUUCGGAGUUACUGGGCGUAAAGAGUGCGUAGGUGGUGCCCUAAGUCUGUUGUGAAAUCUCCCGGCUUAACUGGGAGGGUGCGGUGGAAACUGGGGUGCUUGAGUGUGGGAGAGGUAAGCGGAAUUCCUGGUGUAGCGGUGAAAUGCGUAGAUAUCAGGAGGAACACCGGUGGUGUAGACGGCUUACUGGACCACGAUUGACACUGAGGCACGAAAGCGUGGGUAGCAAACAGG